CAGACUGAGGGCGAAACAGCAGGCAGGACUGGGUGGAGACGUUCGGGGACGUGGCAACUGGAGUUUCUUCUCCGUAUAUUUCGGCAUUCAGUUCCUUUUUUUUUUUGUUUUAACUCAGGAAAAAAUCUCAAUUGCGUUUAGUAUUUUGAAAGCCACUUUAUUGCUUCCCGAGCCUCAGUCAUGUGUGGUGGGAGGCUGCUGUGGGUGGCACCUGGGGCGUCCACGGCCGCCAAGGCGGGAGGACGUCAGGCCCUGCUUGCUCCCACCCCUUCCAGGUGAGAGCUCCCGGGCACGCCCGUCGUUGGCUCUUCGUCCUCUUGGUGUUCUUCCCUGUUGCUUCAAAUCAGGUUCCUGUCUCAAAAAUCCGAAAAAGAAAUCCUCCCAAAUGACUCUGUGCCCGACGCUCCGUUAAGGCAUCGUGCUAGGCGUUCUCAAACUCGUGAAAUGACUACACUGCACAGGUUAACCUCAUUGCUACUCUUCCCCUUGCCUCCUAAUUCUCUGGUUAAACUUCCGCCCCCGAGGUUUCUAGAAAUCCCUGAGCUGGAAUGCGCUGCCUUCAUUAAGAGGGUGUUCUGCUUCCGUCUGCUCACAUUCAUCUAGUAAGCCCUCUCGUUAAAGAGGAGGCAGCACACCGAGGCCUGUCUAGAACUUCUUUCAUUUAACCAACAGUGAAUAUCUAAUCUACAAGAAACUGGAGCCGUGGCAGUUUAGGAGCCUGCCAAGGUUGCAUCCCUGGGAGCUUAUUUUCUAUUGUGGGAGACAGGAAAAGAACAAGUGAAUCAACUGUGAAAUUAAAUAAUUCAAACUUAAAGCUGUUGGAACUUUAAAUUAUUCUGAGCCUUGCGAAGAAUGUGGCGAUGGGGCCUGAGUCCCAUGGCAUACAGCUGCAAUGUCUGCCUUGUUUUUUCCUAUAAUCAGGAAGACCAAACAGAGACAGAGGCGCACACACCAAGAAAGGCCAUGUGGGCACACAGCAAGAUGGUGCCUGUCUGCAAACUAGGAAAAGAGCCCUCACCAGGAACUGAAACAGCUGGCACCUUGAUGUUGGACUUUCCAGCCUCCACAACUGUGAGAGGACUUGGAAGCUAAGGCCCAGAGAGGAGGAGAAACUUGAUCAAAGUCAAUCAGACAAUGCAGAAUCGAGAAAAGUACCUGGACCUCUAUGCCCAUGCUUCUAGCAGCCAGCCUCCUAAAAUACCUCUAGUUGAAGCCAAAGUUAGAAUCCUUCUACGAAACUACAGGAUUAAAAUGGAAUGGUUACAUGACCCAGGCUUGACCAAUCAGAUCAUCCAAACCCUUUGCCACAGUGAUUGGUCCAGGGAUACAUGCAUGAGCCAGCUCAGGUAAAUGAGACUCAAUUAUAAGAAUUUUGUUAGCGCAAUUGGGAAAAAGAAGUUUUCUUUCCAUGAGAACUAUCAGCUAUAAGAAUGUUGGAUGCUUCCAUCUGCUGGAGUCCAUGAAGAAGGUCCAUGAAAAUGAAGCCAGCACAACAACACAGAGCUAAGACAUACAAAGAGAUGGAGAUUAAAUUGAAUGGAACUUUUAAGCCCCUACAUGCCCUUGAAGCCAGAUAUCCCUGAACUUUUAAUUUAUAUUAGUUGAUAAAGUCCUUCUUUAGCUUAAGCCAAUUUGAAUUAGAGUAUUUUUCACUUGGGGUCCAAAAGAGCUCUCAAUACAAAAGUCUGACUGAGUGCAUGAUGUGCUGGUUUCAACCUCAAGGGAACAGGGAAAGGGAAAGAAAGAGGCAGAGGUUGUGAACAGGACAGUAGAAGGUGGUCAGGAGACAAAUAUCUGGACUCAACUUUGUCCCUACUGUGUGGCCUUGAAUAGUGAGUUAACCACUCCGAGCCUCAGUUUCCCCAUCUGGAAAAAAAAGUUAGUGGACAGUCACUAGUUCUCAGACAGAACUCUGUAGCAGCGAGAGGGUAAUGGGGAUUGAGAGUCCCAGACUUGCAUUCUGAGGGACUAGCUCUCCUCUUAUCUAUAUCAUAUACCAGGUUUUCUUGUAAGGUUUUGUUAGAAUGGGUCUCACUGUUAAAAUGGAUUAGCUGAUCAUUUCAGUUCUAUUUAUAUUAAAGUCUAAAUUGAAUCAAGGCUCAGCUGGGGCCCAGUAAGAAUGUAGUGCCUGGUUAAUAAUAUUUUCUACUCUAUGAUAGGAGUUGGCCAGAAGCCAAGGUCAAAAACUCAAUCCCUGGAGGGUUUAUUUGCUUUCUGCAGACAUAAAAAAUUGUUAAUAACAAUGAUCUGCAUCCCCAAUCUUGAGAGCUGUCUUAGAGAUGUGGGUCAUUGAUCACAGAAGGGGCUGGGAAAAGGAAUGUGGAUGAUUCCAAAUAGUCAUUAGCUCUGCCUUAAAUGCCAAUACAAACACUACUGCCAAUGCUCAAGGCAAGCAACCUCUUCAUAGCUAGAACACAGAGGGUGGUGUGCUUGAAGGCUUUUGUUUCUCCUCAAGACAGUGUAGAAAAAGCUGAGAAAACAAAGAGCACUUGUUUCACAAUUAACUGCACAACACCUGAUGUAUAUCCACAGUCCUCUAAAUUAAUAUGGAUUCGCUUUUCUUUAUAAAGACAACAUACACAUUGUAGUGGAAAUCGGAUGGGAGGAUAAUUUUUAUGAAAGCAUAUAACAGUAUUUUUAUAAAAUAUAAAUUAUCAUUACAGUAAAAUAUAUUAACUUCAAGGCAAGUUUUGACACUGUAUGCAAGUUUAAAGUAUUUCAAAUUUUUAAAAAGUGUAUCUUAACAAAUAAAUUUUAGCACCAAUUGCCAGAAUUGUUGUCCACCACUAUAGUCAAAACAAUUUUCUUUUCUUUAUUUCAACUAAAAAUUGUGAAUGGGACUAAAGUCUUUAUGCAAAUAUAUACUCCAAUAAUAAUAUUAAUCUUGCCAACAGUAGCUGAAUAUUUAAUUAACUUUAACAAACAUGUUGAAAGAUAAUAAACUAAAAAAACUAUUUUUCCUUAUAGUCUCUGUAUAACUAGGUGCUUUCUCAUUAGAAAGCUUAUUUUUUCAAAAGUAUAUAUAACAUAGGUAAUUUAUAUUAAUAAAAAAUAAAAAGUUGCAAAUUUCUUGAGGUGUAAUUUCUCAUGUUGAUUAACUUCUGAUCUCUAUCAUUUUGCUUACAUGUACCAUAGAUACACAAAAACCAGAUGGGGGGCAGGGUAAUCAAUCUUAGGAGAGGGCAAUAGUUAAGUCAGACUAGGCAGAGUCAAGACAAGAGGCAGGCAGAGGGUUAGUUGAGGGCAAGUUAUGAAUGCCUCAGAACACAUCUCAGGAUUUGGAAACAAGCAGUAGUCUGGUCAAAUCCAAACUGGGAAACACAGAUGGCG
rnacentral:lncRNA from 1 species